rnacentral:rRNA from 1 species
AUUGAACGCUGGCGGCAUGCCUUACACAUGCAAGUCGAACGGUAACGCGGGGCAACCUGGCGACGAGUGGCGAACGGGUGAGUAAUGCAUCGGAACGUGCCCAGUAGUGGGGGAUAGCCCGGCGAAAGCCGGAUUAAUACCGCAUACGACCUACGGGUGAAAGGGGGGGACCGCAAGACCUCUCGCUAUUGGAGCGGCCGAUGUCAGAUUAGGUAGUUGGUGGGGUUAAGGCCCACCAAGCCUUCGAUCUGUAGCUGGUCUGAGGGGACGACCAGCAGCACUGGGAGUGAGACACGGCCCAGACUCCUACGGGAGGCAGCAGUGGGGAAUUUUGGACAAUGGGCGCAAGCCUGAUCCAGCCAUGCCGCGUGCGGGAAGAAGGCCUUCGGGUUGUAAACCGCUUUUGUCAGGGAAGAAACGCUCUGGGCUAAUACCUCGGGGUAAUGACGGUACCUGAAGAAUAAGCACCGGCUAACUACGUGCCAGCCGCCGCGGUAA